AGGGUUUGAUUCUGGCUCAGGAUGAACGCUGGCGGCGUGCUUAACACAUGCAAGUCGAACGGGAUCCGAAAGCGCUUGCGUUUUUGGUGAGAGUGGCGAACGGGUGAGUAACACGUGAGUAACCUGUCCUUUUCUUUGGGAUAAGCUCCUGAAAGGGUGUUUAAUACCUUAUGUUCCGUCUUCUCCGCAUGGGGUUGGUGGGAAAGAUUUGUUUCGGUAAAGGGUGGGCUCGCGGUCUAUCAGCUUGUUGGUGGGGUGAUGGCUUACCAAGGCUUUGACGGGUAGCCGGCCUGAGAGGGUGGUCGGUCAUAUUGGGACUGAGAUACGGCCCAG
rnacentral:rRNA from 1 species